rnacentral:lncRNA from 1 species
CACUGAAGGGAAGCUUACCAGAGUGCCAUCGAGUUCCUUCCCCUAAGGAUCAGACUUCCAGACUCAAGUGUCAUUUGACCUGGUAUCCAGCUUAAUACAGCCUCUGCUUUUGAAUAGAUUUCCUUACAAGUGGCAAUCUCUAAUAGGGUCAUGUCGAGAGGCAACCCGACUGCAUACUACCUACUGCACGUUAACGUGAUGAAGGUCUCUCCUGAGCACACGGCUUCAUAAACCAGCUGCACAAGCAACUGCAUCUGGGGAUCUGCUUCAAGAGAAACUUAACUAAAGCAAGAAUGGGCUCUAACUUCAGGAUACCUAGGAUUCUAACCUCGUUCCAUUACUUACCAACGAUAUGACCUGGGAAAAAUUAUAUACCUGCUGUGUCUCCAAAGUCUUCAGGCAGAGGCAACAACCACCAGGCAAACUUGAAGAGUUCUUGAACUACUUUUGAGGUUCCUCCUCAAUUUCACAGAUAUACCCUCCUCAGACUCCAGCCCCCAGUAUCUAAUGCCUGGAGCCUGAGUAGCAGGAUGGGAUUAAGUGACUUCUUGACUUGUGAACAAGAUAAAUGGAAGGUUCUGUUCAGAGGCUC